GGCUAGGGGUCGAAUCGGAGUUGUAGUUGCCAGCCUACGCCAGAGCCACAGCAACUCAGGAUCCGAGCCGCGUCUGUGACCUACACCACAGCUCACGGCAACGCCGGAUCGUUAACCCACUGAGCAAGGGCAGGGACCGAACCCGCAACCUCAUGGUUCCUAGUCGGCUUCGUUAACCACUGCGCCACGAUGGGAACUCCUGUUUUUGUUUUUUUUUUGCUAAGGCCGCACCCUCAGCAUAUGGAGGUUUCCAGGCUAGGGGUCUAAUUGGAGCUACAGCUGCCAGCCCACAGCACAGCCACAGCAAUGCAGGGUCUGAGCCUCGUCUGCAACCUACACCAUAGCUCACAGUAAUGCCGGAUCCUUAACCUACUGAGCAAGGCCGGGGAUCAAACCCACAACCUCAUGGUUCCUAGUGGGAUUCAUUUCCGCUCCCCAUGAUGGGAAUUCCAGAUGCAGCUUGAUUUGUAACUUGAGAAGAUCUGGACAAACAGUAUGCAGGCUUUUGCUUGUUUAUUGCCUUGGAGCCCUCAGAUGUUAGGGGCAUGGAGUUUCUGUUGUGGCUCAGUGGUAACGAAUCCGAAUGGUAUCCAUGAGGAUGCAGAUUCAAUCCUUGGCCUCGCUCCGUGGGUUACGUAUCUUGAGUUGCUGUGGCUAUGGUGUAGGCUGGCAACUGCAGCUCUGUUUCGACCCCUAGCCUGGGAACUUCCAUAUGCUUCAUGUGCAGCCCUAAAAAGCAAAUAAAUACAUAACUAAAUAAAGGAAUGAAUAAACAAAUAUUAGUCCUGGCCUGAUGGUUCUUCUAAGAAGGGUGAUCCUAUGGUGCCAUGUCAAAAUCGGCCUUGCAUAAUGCAAGUCACAGCCAUUCAGACUCCCAAGAUCCCUUUCCCAGGUGCCAUGAUCCCCCAAGAUGCCUGGGCAUUGGGGAUCCACUGCCUCUCCCAGACUCAGAACCAUCAAAGUGUGUGAGUUCUGGGUCCUUUCUUCUCUGUCCAGCCCAAGCCCCUGCCUUCAGGGAAACACACACACACAGACACACAGACACAUACAGACAUGUACACACAGACACAGAAACACAUAUACACACAAAUAUGUACGUACACCCAGAGAGAAACACACCCACACAUGUACACACAUACACACGUAUAGUUCCACAUACACAUAACACACACGGGCACACGCUGACACACACAGCCAGGCUGCAGCUUUGUUUUGUUUUGUUUGGCCACACCCACGGCAUGUGUCCCCAGGGGAACUCCCAGGUUACAAUUUUGAACCAAACCUUCUGGAAAACCCAAAGUCUUACUGCAUUAUGAGGUUCUAGAAUUCCCAGCAGGGAAUCAGAAUCUCCCCAAAUACUCUUACCUUGGGUUCUGCAAUUAUUCUCUGUUUACUCCUCAUAGCUGCUCUCUGCUUUCUUCUGCUGGGCUGUAUCCCAGCAGGCUGACUCCCAGACCUUCCCCACGGGGCUUCCUGGUCUGGCCAGGACUGCAGCUUGGGGGUGAGGGCAGCAAGGGCGCUCAGAUAUCAGCCAUACUGUAGAGGGAUCCCCAGGUCUGGCUUUCACAGUGAAGCGCAUUUAUACCUACAUUUAGCAAAGUACCGCCUGGAGGUGUUGCUUCUCCGUGUAACAAGAUAUACAUCAAGAAAGACCGGACCUCGGAGUUCCCGGCGUGGCUCAUCGGAAACGAAUCUGACUAGCAUUCGUGAGGAGGCAGGUUCGAUCCCUGGCCUCGCUUAGUGGGGUAAAGAUCCAGCUUUGCCUUGAGCUGUGGUGUAGGGCGCAGAUGCAGCUUGGAUCCCCAUUGCUGUGGCAGCAGCUGCAGCUCCAGCUCCAAUUCCACCCCUAGCCUGGGACUCUUCAUAUGCGGGGGGUGCAGCCCUAAAAAGACAAAUGAAAAAAAAGACCCAACCUCUCCCUCUACCGUUGAUGAACCUUGACCAAGAGCUGCAAUUACCUAAACUGAGCUUGAAACAGCCCAACUUGGUUGGAUCCUGGAUAUUUCAUACAUUUAUUUAUUUAUUUGUCUUGUUAGGGCCACACCUGCGGCAUAUGGAAGUUCCCAGGCUAGAGUUCAAAUCAGAGCUACAGCUGCUGGCCUGGAUACCACAGCCCCAGCAACAUGGGAUCUGAGCCACUUCUGCGACCUGCACCACAGUCAGAUCCUUAACCUACGGAUCGAGGCCGGGGAUUGAACCUGCGCCCUCACAAAUAUCGGUUGGGUUUGUUAUGGCUGAACCACAACGGGAACUCCAAUGCGUAUAUUCCAUGCACGCUUGGGGGGCUGACUAACCCCGGUUUGGGGAAAUAUACUAACAUCAGGCAGAAGUAUGAUGCUGCCUUUGGAACCCUUGGGCCAGACUGUUCUUGCAUAUUUCCAGCGGGGAAAAGGACAUUGCCACCUCUCAACAGUUCAGACAAGAGAUUAAUUACCUGAGGCCAGUAGACCACAGACAGAAGUAAGGAAGACACACCCUUUUCUUUCUAGGGAUGGAAGAUGAUGGGCACAAACCCGGAAGCACUUCGAACUUUCCAGGAGGAAGGGAGGUGCCACAGCCUGGUAAAGGGAACCCUGAGGUUAAACUGGGGCUUAGACGUUUUAGAGAACCUGAGUGCUGAACUGGUCUUUCUCUGCUAGUAUCGUGCAUCCUUUUCAUCACUGUCAAAUCGUCAGGAGACAGUCCUUAAAACAGAGGUAUAGGGAAGGAAGAAGCAGGAGCAUCAGCGGUGUCCCUUCAGCCGGGCCCAGAAGAGCACGUGGGUGGGAAUAGCAUCAGUUAGCAAGGGAGACUGCAUCGGCCAUCCGGGAGGAUGCCCCUGGGGGUCAGACACAGACAGGUGACAGCUGGAGGAACAGGAAGGCAGACGUGACGUACAUCCUGGGGAGGGCUCGGCAAUCACUGAGCCACAGCCUGAGAGGGACUCAUUUCCAGGAAGAGUAGUUUGAGUUACAGGUAGGAUAGGUCAGAAAGGGACCCUGAUGAUACUUCAUCGUGAGUUACUCAUUCCAUUUUAGGAAUCGAACUUCAAAAACAUGCCUCUACAUCACAUGUGAUGGUCUUUCAUCCAAUGUUCAUAUUGGGCAGUGCUAAAAUAGGUGGGUGGGCACUUAAAAAUUCUGUCCCUUGGAGUUCCGGAUGUGGCUCAGCAGUUAUAAGCCCAACUACUAUCCAUGAGGAUGCAGGUUCAAUCCCUGCCCCUGCUCAGUGGGUUAAGGAUCCGGCGUUGCUGUGAGCUGCAGUGUAGGUCACAGAUGUGGCUCAGAUCCUGUGUCACUGUGGCUGUGGUUGGUGUAGGCUGGCAGCUGCAGCUCCAAGGGGACCCCUGGCCUGGGAAGUUCCAUAUGUCGAGGGUACGGCCCUAAAAAGAAAAAAAAAAUCUGUCCCUAAAUUUGAAAAGUGGGAUAAUUUUAUACUCCCAAAAGCUAACUUGAAGCUGUAAAAAGGAAAUAAUCCUUUCCCAAGUUAUCGACCUAAAGAGCUCAUGCUCCUGAGACACUACAAUAAUCAAAUGGGAUCGCAGGAUGUUUGAUCGAUGACUUUUGCUCAUAAUGCUCCUUUCAAAGUGCAUCCAGGUCUCUGCUAAUAACAGUCAUGAAUCACAUCACCCCACAGAAGACUGGGCAGAGGGUAAUUAUAUCAGGUAAUAAAAUUGAGAAAUAGCCAGCCAUUUAGACCCGGGAAGCUAUUUUUGUACAAAGUACAAAACACAGGAUCCGUGUGACAUAUUCAGGAUGGAGCCAUUUAUGGAUGAGCAGCAGAAGUAGAUAAAUCUGAUCCCUAAGUCAAUGUCUCUAGAACAUGAAGCCAAGGAAGACUUACUGCUUAAAGUCAGCCCUGCUGUGGGACGGGGCCCAGGGACAAACACACCUUGCACAGCCAUUGACUAGGUGUCCCCGUAGGACAAGUCUCUUGGCCUCUCUGGGCUUCAGCCUCAACUACAAUAGGUGGAGCUGGAAUAAAUACUCUUUAAGGUCCUUUCCAGCUCCAAAUUUCUCUUUAUUGUUUAUGAUUAUUUAUUACUCAAUGAAUUUUAUUGCAUUUAUAGUUGUAAAACAAUCAUCACAACCCAAUUUUAUAGCAUCUCCAUCCCAAGCCCUCAGUGCAUCCUCCCACCCCACAAAAACUUAUGGUCUCAUUAGGAACCAUAAGUUUUUCAGAGUCUAUGAGUCAGUAUCUGUUCUGCAGAGAAGUUCAUUGUGUCCGUUUUUUAGAUUCCACAUGUAAGUGAUAGCAAUUGAUGUUGGUGUCUCAUUGCCUGACUGACUUCACUUAGCAUGAUAAUUUCUAGGUCCAUCCAUGUUGCAGCAAAUGCCGUUAUUUCGUUCCUUUUAAUGGCUGGGUAAUAUUCCACUGUGUAUAUGUACCACAUCUUCUUGAUCCACUCCUCUGUGGAUGGACAUGUAGUUGUUUCCAUGUCUUGGCUAUUGUAUAUAGUGCUGCAAUGAACACUGGAGUACAUGUAUCGAGUCAUGGUUUUCUCUGGAUAGAUGCCCAGGAGGUGCCAAUUUUCUCUUUAAAACAGAUAGGGGGAUAGUUCAAUUUCUGGGAGCCAAAGCCAAAAAUUGUUGCAGGCUCUGAUUUAAACAAAGCUUCUGGGAGUUCCCAUCGUGGCUCAGUGGUGACGAAUGCAACUAGUAUCCAUGAGGACUCGGGGAUCAAACCUGCAUCCUCAUGGAUCCUAGUCAGACUUGUUUCCACUGAGCCACAACAGGAAUUCCCAUCCAUUUAUUCUGAAAUACAAAUCUCCAUUCUUGCUCAUGCUGGGAGAAAUGAUCAGUAAAUCUUGGGAAAGACGAUCAGUUUUCAAAGUGCUUUUCUCAGAAUUUUGAUUUGAAUGACACUGCUCUAGAAAAGCUCUAUGUUCUUUAUUCUUGGGCGCUUGGGAUGGUGCUCGGACAGUCCAAUGAGUUAGCCUUUGGCACGGCAGGUACAGCGCACUGGUGGUUCAGCCACCAGGAGAAAUAAAUUUAUAGGUAUCUCGACACUUCAGAGUGAAAGCAGAAUUUGACCCUUGUAGAGAAACCGUGGUUGUCAGUGGAGGGGGGGAACUAGAAUCACGUUCCUGGGACCACAUCACUCUGGCACUCAACGGCUGGAAGGAGCUAGAUGGCGAGGGCUUUCAUCCCUCGCUGUGUGGGGCUACCCUGGAGACACCCCCCUGGGCCAGCCAAGCAUCUCCUCUGUUUGGAAGGGUAACCUCACUCCUGAUGACAAGCGUGGGCCUGCCACAUAGACUUGGCCAAUCACCGUAUCCUUUUCCCUGGCCAUAACGAGGGAUCUAGGAGUGGGCAAUGACCCACAUGGAACCAAACAGAGACCUUUUCUGAGUCUGACAUAUAGAUAACAGGAAAGAGGAGUUUUCAGUUGGGAGGAUGUGACAUUUAGGCCACCAUUAGCCAUCUUCUCCACUAUGACUCUGUGGAGAAAGCCUGCCUGCAUCAUGAGGUCAGAGAUGAGAAGUGGAUGGAAUCAGAUCAUUUCAGGAAUGCCCAGGAACAGGCAUGGUGCCUGCAGUUCCUCUCUGGUCCUGUGAGGUACCCCAGGAACAGUCUCAGUUUUUGGUUUUUUUUGUUUGUUUGUUUGUUUUUGUUGUUGUUGUUGUUUUGUCUUUUUUGCUAUUUCUUGGGCCACUCCCUCGGCAUAUGGAGAUUACCAGGCUAGGGGUCGAAUCAGAGCUGCAGCCUCCGGCCUACGCCAGAGCCACAGCAACGCGGGAUCUGAGCUGAGUCUGCAAACUACACCACAGUUCAGGCAACGCCAGAUCCUUAACCCACUGAGCAAGGGCAGGGACCGAACCCUCAACCUCAUGGUUCCUAGUCGGAUUCGUUAACCACUGCCCCGUGACGGGAACUCCGGAACAGUCUCAGUUUUAUGAAGCAAUAUCCUGUUUUGUUCUUAAGCCGAUGGGGUUGGCUUUAGGUCCCCUAGAAUUGAUAGAACUUCAGUAAACAUUCUUGGUCACCUGUCCCAGGAAGUGAGAACUCCCUUAGUUUUCAGCUAGGUCUCCUUGACCUGGUUUAGCUCACAACCUUCCCCUUGAACUUGAACCAUAUCAUCACACAGAUAUCCAUCUCUUGAAUCAUGUAGCAAUAAAUCACCCUGAAGAAACAAUGCACUGUGUUCUGGUGAAAACACAUAGGGAUACUGGAGUUCCCUUCAUAUCACAGCAGAAAUGAACCCGACUAGCAUCCAUGAGGAUGCAAGUUCGACCCCUGACCUCAUUCAGUGGGUUAAGGAUCCGGCGUUGCCAUGACCUGUGGUAUAGAUCGCAGAUUUGGCUCCAAUCCCGUGUUGCUGUGGCUGUAAUAUAGGCCAGCAGCUACAGCUCCAAUUCGACCCCUAGCCUGGGAACCUCCAUAUGUCUCGGGUGUGGCCCUAAAAAGCAAAAAAAAAAAAAAAA
rnacentral:lncRNA from 9 species